GACAGCUGUGUCGGGAUAUAGGAUGGACAUAGUCCACCAAUGGAAGGUCAGGUGAAUCAGCUUGACUCCUCCCCCCCUCCCGUUCUCAUGCUAUAUGGGAUGGCCUCAGUUUUUUUUGUCUACCUUUCUCUGAAGAAGCACGAGUGGUGCGAAACGUCAGGAAUUUUUUUCUUUUAAAAUUUUAAACCAUACUCCUUUUAUCUUUCUUACCCUUGAAACAAAAGGUUUGGAUGAUGUGAAAUAGAAGAGGAUUACUCCAUUACUCCAUCUCACUAUUCCAAAAAGGACACAAUUUUUCCAACAAACAAAGAUAAGCACAUGGACCUUUGGAGACUGGUUGGGGAUGGUAUGGAAGAGCUCCUUUCUGUAUGAGAUAUCCAUUUUUCUGGGUUGGUGAGUACUCCCAAAACCACUGUGUGUACACAUGAAGAUUUUAAAGUUUGGAGUGGAUUGAAGCUGAACCACUAUCAGAAUUGAACCAUAAAGGAGUGAUCACUUGUGAAUGAAGUGUUUUUUUCCCACUUGAGAGGGGAGAGGGUUUUUUUUCCUCUCACCUUAGUGUGGAGUGCUUUCCUAGAGAGAUUGUUUUUAUGGAGUAACAACCGAACCUAUAGUGGAGAAUUCGUACGGACUGCUCUCUGGUAUACAUUCCCCUCACUCCCUCUCCUCAAACAUUUUUUUUGAGGGGUUGAGGCCUGUAUGAGGCUUAACUGCCAUUUCUGGAGCAACCACCAGAUGGCAACAGACAAGGACUUAUUGUAGGAGAAAAGGAGUUGUGAGUUGACCUCCAUCAUCACCUGUUAUAUUGGGUUUUGUUUCAUUGGAGUUUCUUUUCUAAAAUCGGGCCAAUAUUUGUUUUGUGUUUUUGGUUUAUAAUAUCAUUUUCUUAAAUGUUUUUUGUCCUCUGUGUGGGUAUAUAUAUUUCUUUGGUUGACUGGGUCUAAUUAUAUAUUGUGGGGGGAUUUUAACGUUUAUAUGAUCCCUUCUUUUAGUUGGGUUUCCCAGCAAGGGUUCCGGCUAUUGGUUCUUUACCAUGGCAGUGCCAGUACACAAUCGUUUCCAGGCUCUAGUUAACCUACAUGAUCAGGCAGGUAUGGUAAGACAGGUGAAUAAAUUGGCGGCCUUUAUUAAACCCUCCUCGCCCAACCAACAGACUCUGGCAAAGCAGGCUAAAUCCAGUUAUGCGGCUGCAGUGACUAGCAAGUCACCGACUGGCAGGGCCUUAAUGGGAGCCAAGGCCCAUAGGGACUCUGGAAUAUGCAGGAAUACUCCAGGGGGAUCGAGUGACAACUCGGACCUGCAAAGAGUGGAGGGGCUAGCUUCAGACUUACCCCAACAAUCAAGAAGAGUAAGGAGAUAUUUAAUCCCCAAACUCAAUGACCAAGAGAGAAUCUGGCCCCACCUAAAGUCCCAGCCUUGAUAAUCCCAGGUUCACAACAAGAUAACCAGCAGGGUACGGUAGCAAUGGAAAACGGAAAAGAAACGGAACCUGGGACAGAACUAAUACUGGAACCUGUAAAAAGGGAUACACUUUUUUAUCCCACAUGUCAUUCUAGAACUGAAAGGAAAAUAAAUGAUUGGAGUAUUGAGAUUACAAAACCCGUGGUUUUUAUUGGGGAUUCCAACCUUGCGCGCAUUCCUAGCUUUACGGACACUAACACACAGAUAGACAGCUUUCCGGGAGCAACCUUUAGACAUAUUGCAGGAGUGAUAGGCAAGUUGGGGAAACAGGA